AUUGAACGCUGGCGGCAGGCCUAACACAUGCAAGUCGAGCGGAUGAAGGGAGCUUGCUCCUGGAUUCAGCGGCGGACGGGUGAGUAAUGCCUAGGAAUCUGCCUGGUAGUGGGGGAUAACGUCCGGAAACGGGCGCUAAUACCGCAUACGUCCUGAGGGAGAAAGUGGGGGAUCUUCGGACCUCACGCUAUCAGAUGAGCAUAGGUCGGAUUAGCUAGUUGGUGGGGUAAAGGCCUACCAAGGCGACGAUCCGUAACUGGUCUGAGAGGAUGAUCAGUCACACUGGAACUGAGACACGGUCCAGACUCCUAGGGGAGGCAGCAGUGGGGAAUAUUGGACAAUGGGCGAAAGCCUGAUCCAGCCAUGCCGCGUGUGUGAAGAAGGUCUUCGGAUUGUAAAGCACUUUAAGUUGGGAGGAAGGGCAGUAAGUUAAUACCUUGCUGUUUUGACGUUACCAACAGAAUAAGCACCGGCUAACUUCGUG
rnacentral:rRNA from 1 species